rnacentral:rRNA from 1 species
CCUACGUGAGGCUGCAGUGAGGAAUAUUGGUCAAUGGCCGGAAGGCUGACCCAGCCAAGCCGCGUGAAGGACGAAGGUGCCAAGCAUUGUAAACUUCUUUUGUCAAGGGACAAAAUCAGGCUCGAGAGCCUGACCGAGGGUACUUGAAGCAAAAGCAUCGGCUACCUCCGUGCCAGCAGCCGCGGUAAUACGGAGGAUGCGAGCGUUAUCCGGAUUUAUUGGGUUUAAAGGGUGCGUAGGCGGGCUGUUAAGUCAGCGGUAAAAUGGCGGGGAUCAACCUCGCGCAGCCGUUGAAACUGGCGUUCUUGAGGGGGCGAGAAGUAUGCGGAAUGCGUGGUGUAGCGGUGAAAUGCAUAGAUAUCACGCAGAACUACGAUUGCGAAGGCAGAAUACCGGCGCCCAACUGACGCUGAAGCACGAAAGCGUGGGUAUCGAACAGGAUUAGAUACCCUUGUAGUC